rnacentral:tRNA from 4 species
GGGCAGGUAGCUCAGUUGGUAGAGCAGAUUCUUGCUGCACUUUUUUUACCCCAACGGGUCGCUGCAUCAAGAUUAUCGGGUCGAAAGUUCAAGUCUUUCCCUGUCCA